rnacentral:rRNA from 1 species
CAGCGGCGGACGGGUGAGUAAUGCCUAGGAAUCUGCCUAGUAGUGGGGGACAACGUUUCGAAAGGAACGCUAAUACCGCAUACGUCCUACGGGAGAAAGUGGGGGAUCUUCGGACCUCACGCUAUUAGAUGAGCCUAGGUCGGAUUAGCUAGUUGGUAGGGUAAAGGCCUACCAAGGCGACGAUCCGUAACUGGUCUGAGAGGAUGAUCAGUCACACUGGAACUGAGACACGGUCCAGACUCCUACGGGAGGCAGCAGUGGGGAAUAUUGGACAAUGGGCGAAAGCCUGAUCCAGCCAUGCCGCGUGUGUGAAGAAGGCCCUCGGGUCGUAAAGCACUUUAAGUUGGGAGGAAGGGCUUACAGCGAAUACCUGUGAGUUUUGACGUUACCGACAGAAUAAGCACCGGCUAACUUCGUGCCAGCAGCCGCGGUAAUACGAAGGGUGCAAGCGUUAAUCGGAAUUACUGGGCGUAAAGCGCGCGUAGGUGGCUUGAUAAGUUGGAUGUGAAAUCCCCGGGCUCAACCUGGGAACUGCAUCCAAAACUGUCUGGCUAGAGUGCGGUAGAGGGUAGUGGAAUUUCCAGUGUAGCGGUGAAAUGCGUAGAUAUUGGAAGGAACACCAGUGGCGAAGGCGACUACCUGGACUGACACUGACACUGAGGUGCGAAAGCGUGGGGAGCAAACAGGAUUAGAUACCCUG